rnacentral:rRNA from 1 species
GACGUAGGGCGCGAGCGUUGUCCGGAUUUAUUGGGCGUAAAGAGCUCGUAGGCGGCUUGUCGCGUCGUCCGUGAAAACCUGGGGCUCAACCCCAGGCUUGCGGUCGAUACGGGCAGGCUCGAGUUCGGUAGGGGAGACUGGAAUUCCUGGUGUAGCGGUGAAAUGCGCAGAUAUCAGGAGGAACACCGGUGGCGAAGGCGGGUCUCUGGGCCUGACCUGACGCUGAGGAGCGAAAGCGUGGGGAGCGAACAGG